CAACGAUCGGAAAAACCUAACCCUAGCGACCAUGAUCUACGACGUCAAUUCCCCCCUCUUCCGCUCCUUCCUCAGCCAGAAGGGCGGCGCCGGCGAUAAGCGGAAACCAGAGGAACAAAAGCCAAAGGAGCAGAGGCCUAAGGCAAAUGAGAACAAGCUAGUGAUGAAUGAAUGAUAUUAAUCAGUACCAGUUGAAUGAUGUUAAUGAUAAUCAGUGGAACCCUGUACUGUUCAAGCUACUGUUCUCCUGUUUGGCUUUUGUUGUGUGUUUAGACACACUUUCAUGCACAAUAU
rnacentral:misc_RNA from 1 species